AUUGAACGCUGGCGGCAGGCUUAACACAUGCAAGUCGAGCGGUAACAGGAGAAGCUUGCUUCUCGCUGACGAGCGGCGGACGGGUGAGUAAUACUUAGGAAUCUGCCCAGUAGUGGGGGAUAGCUCGGGGAAACUCGAAUUAAUACCGCAUACACCCUACGGGGAAAAGGGGGCACUUGUGCUCUCGCUAUUGGAUGAGCCUAAGUCGGAUUAGCUAGUUGGUGGGGUAAAGGCCUACCAAGGCGACGAUCUGUAGCUGGUCUGAGAGGAUGAUCAGCCACACCGGGACUGAGACACGGCCCGGACUCCUACGGGAGGCAGCAGUGGGGAAUAUUGGACAAUGGGGGCAACCCUGAUCCAGCCAUGCCGCGUGUGUGAAGAAGGCCUUUUGGUUGUAAAGCACUUUAAGCAGUGAAGAAGACUCUAUGGUUAAUACCCAUAGACGAUGACAUUAGCUGCAGAAUAAGCACCGGCUAACUCUGUGCCAGCAGCCGCGGUAAUACAGAGGGUGCAAGCGUUAAUCGGAAUUACUGGGCGUAAAGCGAGCGUAGGUGGCUUGAUAAGUCAGAUGUGAAAUCCCCAGGCUUAACCUGGGAACUGCAUCUGAUACUGUUAGGCUAGAGUAGGUGAGAGGGAGGUAGAAUUUCAGGUGUAGCGGUGAAAUGCGUAGAGAUCUGAAGGAAUACCGAUGGCGAAGGCAGCCUCCUGGCAUCAUACUGACACUGAGGUUCGAAAGCGUGGGUAGCAAACAGGAUUAGAUACCCUGGUAGUCCACGCCGUAAACGAUGUCUACUAGUCGUUGGGGAACUUGAUUCCUUAGUGACGCAGCUAACGCAAUAAGUAGACCGCCUGGGGAGUACGGCCGCAAGGUUAAAACUCAAAUGAAUUGACGGGGGCCCGCACAAGCGGUGGAGCAUGUGGUUUAAUUCGAUGCAACGCGAAGAACCUUACCUGGUCUUGACAUAUCUAGAAUCCUGCAGAGAUGCGGGAGUGCCUUCGGGAAUUAGAAUACAGGUGCUGCAUGGCUGUCGUCAGCUCGUGUCGUGAGAUGUUGGGUUAAGUCCCGCAACGAGCGCAACCCUUUUCCUUAGUUACCAGCGGUUUGGCCGGGGACUCUAAGGAUACUGCCAGUGACAAACUGGAGGAAGGCGGGGACGACGUCAAGUCAUCAUGGCCCUUACGACCAGGGCUACACACGUGCUACAAUGGUAGGUACAGAGGGCAGCUACACAGCGAUGUGAUGCGAAUCUCAAAAAGCCUAUCGUAGUCCAGAUUGGAGUCUGCAACUCGACUCCAUGAAGUCGGAAUCGCUAGUAAUCGCGGAUCAGAAUGCCGCGGUGAAUACGUUCCCGGGCCU
rnacentral:rRNA from 1 species